rnacentral:rRNA from 1 species
UACGUAGGGUGCGAGCGUUAAUCGGAAUUACUGGGCGUAAAGCGCGCGCAGACGGUUACUUAAGCAGGAUGUGAAAUCCCCGGGCUCAACCUGGGGAACGUGUGCGUUCUGAACUGGGUGACUAGAGUGUGUCAGAGGGAGGUAGAAUUCCACGUGUAGCAGUGAAAUGCGUAGAGAUGUGGAGGAACUACCGAUGGCGAAGGCAGCCUCCUGGGAUAACACUGACGCUUCAUGCCCGAAAGCGUGGGUAGCAAACAGGAUUAGAUACCCUGGUAGUCCACGCCGCAAACGAUGAGUGCUAGGUGUUAGACCCUUUCCGGGGUUUAGUGCCGUAGCUAACGCAUUAAGCACUCCGCCUGGGGAGUACGACCGCAAGGUUGAAACUC